rnacentral:rRNA from 1 species
CGUGUAGGCGGCUUGCUAAGUCUUGCGUGAAAUCUCGGGGCUCAACCCCGAGCGGUCGUGAGAAACUGGCAGGCUAGAGUGCGGGAGAGGAGAGUGGAAUUCCUGGUGUAGCGGUGAAAUGCGCAGAUAUCAGGAAGAACACCCGUAGCGAAGGCGGCUCUCUGGAACGCAACUGACGCUGAGACGCGAAGCGUGGGAGCAAACA